AUAAUAUUUUACUUAAUCAAAGUGAAAAUAGGUUAUAUAAAUCUGUUAAAAAAAAUCAAUUAAUGUCAAAAUUUUAAUCGUGUGAAGUUGUAAUUUUGGUCUUUAAUCAUCGAUGACAAGCUUGUUAGUUGACAGUUGUAUAUUAAACAAACAAUAAAUUGCACGUGUUAUAAUUUCGUUUGGCUAGAUUCCAAAAUAUAUUUGUAUAAAGUUAAAAAGCGAUCACAUUGAGCAUAAAAAAGUACAGAAGAUAAUUUACCAAGAAAUGUAAAAUUAAGACAUCAAUCACUAUGUAUAGCAGAAUAUGGACUCUGUCGGAACUAAACAAAAUUAUCUCUGUAAUUGUCAUACACGUACUCGACUUAUUAUUGUUUCUCGUAUUGUUGCCAUUCAUGACUUGGGAGUGGAUUUCCGAUAGACCAUAUAUAAUAACAAUUGUGAGAACAAUCAUUGAGGUUAUGUUUGAGCUGAUUAUGUGGAUUAUCUUUGCUGGUGUAUCAAUACUUACGACUGUGAUUUUUGUAUUUGAUGAUCUAUAUUGCAGUAAAACUCAGUGUGAUAAUCGAAAAAAAGAUUUACAUAUCGCGCUACAUGAUAAUAACGAUAAAAAUUCUCACAUAGUAAAAUCUUCAAAUUUU